AGUGAACGCUGGCGGUAGGCCUAACACAUGCAAGUCGAACGGCAGCACAGUAAGAGCUUGCUCUUACGGGUGGCGAGUGGCGGACGGGUGAGGAAUACAUCGGAAUCUACUUUUUCGUGGGGGAUAACGUAGGGAAACUUACGCUAAUACCGCAUACGACCUACGGGUGAAAGCAGGGGAUCUUCGGACCUUGCGCGAUUGAAUGAGCCGACGUCGGAUUAGCUAGUUGGCGGGGUAAAGGCCCACCAAGGCGACGAUCCGUAGCUGGUCUGAGAGGAUGAUCAGCCACACUGGAACUGAGACACGGUCCAGACUCCUACGGGAGGCAGCAGUGGGGAAUAUUGGGCAAUGGGCGCAAGCCUGAUCCAGCCAUACCGCGUGGGUGAAGAAGGCCUUCGGGUUGUAAAGCCCUUUUGUUGGGAAAGAAAAGCAGCAGGUUAAUACCCCGCUGUUCUGACGGUACCCAAAGAAUAAGCACCGGCUAACUUCGUG
rnacentral:rRNA from 1 species